GAUGAACGCUGGCGGCGUGCCUAAUACAUGCAAGUCGAGCGAACAGAUGAGGAGCUUGCUCCUCUGACGUUAGCGGCGGACGGGUGAGUAACACGUGGAUAACCUACCUAUAAGACUGCGAUAACUUCGGGAAACCGGAGCUAAUACCGGAUAAUAUAUUGAACCGCAUGGUUCAAUAGUGAAAGACGGUUUUGCUGUCACUUAUAGAUGGAUCCGCGCCGCAUUAGCUAGUUGGUAAGGUAACGGCUUACCAAGGCAACGAUGCGUAGCCGACCUGAGAGGGUGAUCGGCCACACUGGAACUGAGACACGGUCCAGACUCCUACGGGAGGCAGCAGUAGGGAAUCUUCCGCAAUGGGCGAAAGCUUGACGGAGCAACGCCGCGUGAGUGAUGAAGGUCUUCGGAUCGUAAAACUCUGUUAUUAGGGAAGAACAAAUGUGUAAGUAACUAUGCACGUCUUGACGGUACCUAAUCAGAAAGCCACGGCUAACUACGUG
rnacentral:rRNA from 1 species